AUGUCUCCAGCACCUUCCCACCUCACCGGCGCUGACGCGACGGCGGAACCAUUCCGCAUCUACGUGGGCUACGACUCCCGCGAGGACAUCGCAUACCGCGUCUGCCGGCGGUCACUCCUGCGCCGCUCCUCCGUGCCGCUGGAGGUCAUCCCGAUCGUCCAGCAGGAGCUCCGCGAGGCUGGGCUGUACUGGCGGGAGCGCGGGCCGACGGAGAGCACAGAGUUCUCCUUCACCCGCUUCCUGACGCCGCACCUCGCCGGCUACCGUGGCUGGGCGCUCUUCGUGGACUGCGACUUCCUCUUCGUCGCCGACGUGGCAGAGCUGGCGCGCAUGGCCGACCCUCGCUACGCCGUGCUGUGCGUGCACCACGACUACACGCCCAAGGAGGCCACCAAGAUGGACGGCGCCGUGCAGACGGUGUACCCCCGCAAGAACUGGUCCUCCAUGGUGCUCUUCAACUGCGGCCACCCCAAGAACCGCGCUUCGCUCACGCCGGAGGCCGUGAGCACCCAGAGCGGAGCGCACCUCCACCGAUUCGCGUGGCUUGACGACGCCGAUGUCGGCGAGGUGCCAUUCGCGUGGAACUUCCUCGUGGGGCACAACCGCGUCGACCCGGCGGACGUCGACGGGACCACGCCGCGCGCCAUACACUACACGUCCGGCGGGCCGUGGUUCGAGCGGUACAAGGACUGCGAGUUCGCCGACCUCUGGGUCCAGGAGCGCGACGCGUACGAGUCCGAGGAGAAAGAAGACGCGGUGGAAGGUACAGGAGUGCCACCAUCGUCUGCAGUUGCAAUGGACGCAUGA
rnacentral:rRNA from 1 species